AGGGUAACCACACAUCCUGAUGGGCCAGGACAGUUUAUACAUGUUAUCCCAGGGAACUUGGUGGUAGUGCCCUCUUUCACACUUAAAAGUGUCUUGGUUUGGAUGCCAUAUUAGAAGGACAUACUCUUUGAAGGGACAUCGAUUAACAGCACAGAAGAUGGCUUAAAUGUCUGCCUUUACAGAGGGGAUUAGACAGGGACCUCAAAGGUCCUUUGGAACCACCAACGCCUUGAGGAUGUGUAGGGUUUCUUUGAGAAUCAGGGCACUGUGAGCAGCACAUAGUUCCAUACUUGCUCAGAAACAACUAGAAUUUGGGGAAGCUCCUACUGUCAAGAAAUUCCUGCAGCUGUCUGGCUCUUAAUACUUGCAUGAUGUUAGGGUCCUUGUUUACCAAAAGCUACAAUGAUAGGGAACCCCUUCUUGGCUCAUUUGCUCAUCUUGGCCUUUGCAAGUGACUGGUCAGGUCAGUUUGGAUCUGUUUAGGGUGCUGUGGACGCUCUUAUGCCUGUUGCUUCCUUAAACAGAUUCAUGGAUCCCUUUCGUGGGGCUGAGUGCAGGUCCCCUCCCAUCCACCAACAAGAUUUCUUUUACGGGAGCAAUAAAAUCCAGACCACUCUGUGCUAUAUUCACAAACUAUCUGCUGCUUUCAUCAGUGUGAUCCAGGUUACUUCCUGUUUGACAGCCACUGACGUGGAUGCAAAAGGCAUUGAGAGCCUGAGGCCUUGGCACCUCUACCAGCCCUGCAAAGCUGAAAGGUGCACCCGCUAAGUGAACCAGAAAUACCAAGGCCAGGUCUAAAUAGACUACCAGAACUCGCUUGGACCAGGAUCUGGAAAAGAAGCAGCAGAAGAGGCACCUAUAUGAGAUCAAUACAAGUUUUAUCGAAAUUCCUGGAAACAAAUCAAGGCCACAGUAUGAAGGUGUUCUCUGGGCUUGUUCUCAGGCCAUUUCCACCAAGUCUCAUCUCUGACCUGCACAAAAUCCUUCCUCUGCAUGACCACCAGCUGGAGGUAGAUCUGGAAAACUCUUCUCUGCACAGCUGCAGGUGUCCCUGGAAGUUCUGGAAGGAGCAAAGAAUAAAGUGCGGUGGAGUAGUUACCCCCCGACCAAAUACUCCAGUACAACCUCUUGAAGGAAACUCCUCUCUGGACUUCUACUAAGAACUGAAAUGAAUGUGUCCAGAUUGAUGCUUGCAGUUAUGUCUAGCUCAGCUGGUCUUCUAGAACCUCUGCCUACAACAUGAGCUGGAAUGCGCCAGUGCCACUUUUGUUGUGGCACAUCUCUGGCAAUAUCUUUUUUUUUUCAG
rnacentral:lncRNA from 12 species